rnacentral:rRNA from 1 species
UACGGAGGGCGCAAGCGUUGUUCGGAAUCACUGGGCGUAAAGCGCGUGUAGGCGGCUCUGCAAGUCGGGUGUGAAAUCCCGAGGCUCAACCUCGGAACUGCACUCGAUACUGCUUGGCUCGAGUCCCGGAGAGGGUGGCGGAAUUCCCGGUGUAGGGGUGAAAUCCGUAGAUAUCGGGAGGAACACCAGUGGCGAAGGCGGCCGCCUGGUCGGUAACUGACGCUGAGUCGCGAAAGCGUGGGGAGCAAACAGG